GCUCCAUAACUGUUGGCCAUUUGUAUAUAUUAUCUUUGACAAACUCCACUAACUCCCUGGCAACAUGGCAGUAGUGGUUAUCAGCCUGGAGUCCCACUGCCUGGGCCCAAAUCCUACUAUACCCUUAACAGCUGUGACCCUGGAAGGAUUUCUGCCCAGAUGAGACCAACACGGAGAAUGGUAGUGAAAAAUGAAGCGCUAAAGAGAAGAAAGAGCCCCCUUAAAGUAUGAGAAGACCAUGCUGGGCUUGACAAGUUUCUCCCAGCCAGACUUUUAGGCAUUUCUGUCUCCUCUCCUUGUCUCACUUGACUCUGCUAUUGUGUGUCCCCUGAACCAGAUGGUCAUUUAUGAAAGGUUUUCUGAAUUCCUAGAAGAAAUUUUUAUAGGUUGACUAAGCUUCUGCUUCCUCUCUGUGCAUGUGCAGGUUCUGGUUUUUAUCUGGGUCACUUGGAAACUUUGAGAAGCAUUCUUUGUGGGAAGGUGGGUGUGAUGAUGAAGAUGGUGAUGAUGAU